UGCAGGAAAGCUACUGGUUGCUAAUUUUGUUUAGUCUCUUUUCUCAAGUUAUAAUAAAUAUCUUAACCAGUUUUUGGGUGUUCACUGAAGUUCAAGAUUGGUAAUUGAUAUUAACUUCUCUUCAUAUCAGUUUGUGCUCUUUUUUUUUUUGUGUUGGGGAAAAGUUGGAAGCAUGAAAGCUACAUACAACAUAAUUCAGUUUGUGGGUAUGGAAGUACUCUCAUACAGUUCUGCACCAUGCUGUAAUGCUGUUAAUUAAAGGUGGAAAUUGAUUGUGAAAAGCUCAAGUUCACAUCAAUUCAGUCUCCCAGGUUUUAGAAAGAAAAAAAAACUGAAUUUUUGGUGCUAAAUUUGAUGGGAGAAGGAAGUUUUUGAGCUGUUACAAUUUAGAUCAGCCUUUCUUGAAGCAACUAAAUCACCAAGGAGGUUUUAGGUCAUUAAACACCAGUGAAAACUUCAAACAUGUUGAUCCAAUUUUAUCAAGUGGAAGCUCUGAUGGCUACAUAAUUGGAGAGGAAGAGGAUGAAAGUAUUUCAGAAACAGGGGAACAAGUAACUAAAGUUUUGAUUCCUGGUCUACCAGAUGAAUCCAAAGGCUAAUUGGGUGCGCCAGUAAGUAGUAGCUUUUGGGAAUGGAAGCCCAAAUUCAAUGUGCAUUAUGAGAAAGCUGGAUGUGAAACCUUAGCAGCUGAAUGGAUGAUUGGUGUAUACUAUGGUACUCCACAAGUGACAUCUGGAGGAAUUGCAUUAAAAUUCUUUGCCACAUUUCGGCUUGAAAUACGUUCUACAGGGAAGAUAAAGUCUCUAAGAACAAUAGCCAUUGUUUCUUAUUGCAUGACAGCUAUUUGAUGGAUGAGUAUAUUUAUCUCUUUUUUGCAAGAUGGUAGUAGUGUAUGAGAGCGUCAAGAGGAGGCUGUGAGUAGAAGGUGGUUCUUUGCAGGCUAGACAAGCAAAAGUUCACUCUCUGGACUUGCUCCACUUGAAGCAGUGCUAUUUGAUAUUGAUAGAACUCUGUGUGAUUUAGAUCCCAUUCAUUUCAAUGCCUUCCACAAAAUGCUUCCAUAGUUUUUGCAAGAUGUUAACAGUGUACAAGAGAGUCAAGAAGAGGCUGUGAGUAGAAGGAGGUUCUUUGCAGGCUAGACAAGGUUGAAAAAGUUUUUUUUUUAAUUUUUCCUGUUUUCGUUCGAAACUUUUUGUUUACUUAUUGUCCUUGAAUAUUAUGCUCAAAGUAGUUAAAUUUUUGUCCAAAAUGUUUUAUUUGUGUUUCUUGAUUUGAAUGAAAGUUUGGUAUUUCAUCC